UACGAGAGGCCCAAACGUUAUUCGGAUUUACUGGGCUUAAAGAGUUCGUAGGCGGCGCAGAAAGUAGGGUGUGAAAGCCCUCGGCUCAACCGAGGAAUUGCGCUCUAAACUACUGUGCUCGAGGAACCUAGAGGUGAGCGGAACUGAUGGUGGAGCGGUGAAAUGCGUUGAUAUCAUCAGGAACACCGGAGGCGAAGGCGGCUCACUGGGGGUUAUCUGACGCUCAGGUGCGAAAGCUAGGGGAGCGAACAGG
rnacentral:rRNA from 1 species